AGGUGAUGAUGUUUGAACUCACGAUGGUCUGCAGAGCUCCCUCUUGUGAACGGGGGCUGCUGAAAAGGCCGGUCUGGCAAUUGCUGAGCCACAGGC